AAACAAACGAAAUAUCAUAGAUUCUCCAUCUAUGACACCGCUUGACACCAUCGGGGGGGUCCAUCCGCCUCCGUGCCGGGCAGCGGAACCCGAGGCACAGAGGAAUGACGCCAAGCCGGAAAGGCUGCGCGCCAGUGGUCCACCCGGAAGUGCGCCCCCCCAUCAGGUCCCCCAGAGCCCCCAGCGCCGGCCGGCCACGCACCCACCUGUCCUAGUGUGGCUGCAGCCAUGAUCCGGUGUGUGCGGCUGGUGACUGUGCCCGCCUGGGGCGCGGCCUGGUGAAAGGCAUUCGGGCCCCGCCCUGCUCACGCCCCCUCCCGCAGAUGGCUGCUGUGUCGAGCCUCACUUCUGCCAGGCCGUUCUUAGUUCUGGGACCACAGGGACCCAGGCUCUGCUGUGAAGAUCCUGCGCGGGAACGGUCCGGACCUGCCGCACUCUCUCCCUCCUCGCCUCCACCC
ensembl:processed_transcript